UAGUUGGGCACUCUAAGGUGACUGCCGGUGACAAACCGGAGGAAGGUGGGGAUGACGUCAAAUCAUCAUGCCCCUUAUGACCUGGGCUACACACGUGCUACAAUGGACGAUACAAACGGUUGCCAACUCGCGAGAGGGAGCUAAUCCGAUAAAGUCGUUCUCAGUUCGGAUUGUAGGCUGCAACUCGCCUACAUGAAGCCGGAAUCGCUAGUAAUCGCGGAUCAGCAUGCCGCGGUGAAUACGUUCCCGGGCCUUGUACACACCGCCCG
rnacentral:rRNA from 1 species